UAUGGUGGUAUUGCCGAUGGUGUUCACCUCUUCCCAUUCCGAACAGAGUAGUUAAGCCCAUCAUGGCCGAUGAUACUGGUAUUUUUCCGGGAAAGUAGGUA
rfam:Triticum urartu cultivar G1812 contig1365235, whole genome shotgun sequence.